UUAAGAAAAUUAAUCUAAGGGCAGAUGGUGGAUGCCUAGACCAGAAGAGGCGAUGAAGGACGUACUAGGCUGCGAUAAGCCAGGGGGAGCUGCCAAGAAGCUUUGAUCCCUGGAUUUCCGAAUGGGGCAACCCGGCAUGGCGCGAGUCAUGUCACUCUUAGGAGAGCGAACGCGGGGAAGUGAAACAUCUCAGUACCCGCAGGAAAAGAAAUCAACCGAGAUUCCCUUAGUAGCGGCGAGCGAAACGGGAACAGCCCUAAAAUCUUUGAGGUGUUAGUAGAAAUUGCUGGAAUGCAAUACCGUAGAGGGUGAAAGUCCCGUAUACGAAAACUAAUCAUAGACUAUUCGAGUAGGUCGGGACACGUGAAACCCUGACUGAAUAUGGGAGGACCACCUUCCAAGGCUAAAUACUACUUCAGGAUCGAUAGUGAACCAGUACCGUGAGGGAAAGGUGAAAAGAACCGCAGUGAGCGGAGUGAAAUAGAACCUGAAACCAUCUGCCUACAAUCAUUCAGAGCCCUAUGUUUUAUACAGGGUGAUGGACUGCCUUUUGCAUAAUGAGCCUGCGAGUUAUGGUGACUAGCAAGGUUAAACAAACGUGAAGCCGUAGCGAAAGCGAGUCUUAAUAGGGCGAUAGUUAGUUGCUGUAGACCCGAAACUAAGUGAUCUAUCCAUGGGCAGGUUGAAGCUGGUGUAAGAGCUAGUGGAGGACCGAACGGGUGAAGGUUUAAAACUUCUCCGAUGACCUGUGGAUAGGGGUGAAAGGCCAAUCAAACUUAGUGAUAGCUGGUUCUCUCCGAAAUAUAUUUAGGUAUAGCGUCAUGUUCGAAAUAUGAGGGGGUAGAGCACUGAUUGGGCUAGGGCGUAUACCAAUGUACCAAACCCAGUCAAACUCCGAAUACCUCAUGUGAAUUCAUGGCAGUCAGGUGGUGGGUGAUAAAAUCAAUCAUCGAGAGGGAAACAGCCCAGACUACCAGCUAAGGUCCCAAAGUCCUAUUUAAGUGGAAAAGGAUGUGGAGUUGCUUAGACAACCAGGAGGUUGGCUUAGAAGCAGCCAUCCUUUAAAGAAAGCGUAACAGCUCACUGGUCUAGCGAUUCUGCGCCGAAAAUAUAACGGGGCUAAAAUAGGCACCGAAGCUGUAGAUUUAGUAUUUAUACUAAGUGGUAGGAGAGCGUUCUAGUCAGCAUUGAAGCCAUACCGGUAAGGAGUGGUGGAGCGGCUAGAAGUGAGCAUGCAGGCAUGAGUAGCGAGAAAACAGGUGAGAAUCCUGUUCGCCGUAAACCCAAGGGUUCCUACACUAUGCUCGUCAAUGUAGGGUUAGUCGGGUCCUAAGCUGAGUCCGAAAGGGGUAAGCGAUGGCAAAUUGGUUAAUAUUCCAAUACCAACUAAUAGUUUAGUACGAUGGGGGGACGCAUAGGGUUAAACGAGCUCACUGAUGGAAUAGUGGGUCGAAGGGCGUAGGUAAGCCGGAUAGGAAAAUCCGCCGGCUCUUUCCGAGACCUGACAGGCUGAUGACGUUCUUCGGAAUAGAUUCAGAAUCGUUGAUACCGUCGUGCCAAGAAAAGCCUCUAAGUGUAUUAUUAGUUGCCCGUACCGUAAACCGACACAGGUGGGUGAGAUGAGUAUUCUAAGGCGCGUGGAAGAACCCUGGUUAAGGAACUCUGCAAACUAGCACCGUAACUUCGGAAUAAGGUGUGCCUAACUUGGUAUAUGGACUUGCUCCAAAAAGCUAAGAAGGUUGCAACAAAGAGUCCCUCCCGACUGUUUAUCAAAAACACAGCACUUUGCUAACUCGUAAGAGGAUGUAUAAGGUGUGACGCCUGCCCGGUGCUUGAAGGUUAAUUGAUGGGGUUAGCAGUAAUGCGAAGCUCUUGAUCGAAGCCCAAGUAAACGGCGGCCGUAACUAUAACGGUCCUAAGGUAGCGAAAUUUAAAUACCGACCUGCAUGAAUGGCGUAACGAGAUGGGAGCUGUCUCAACCAGGGAUCCAGUGAAAUUGUAGUGGAGGUGAAAAUUCCUCCUACCCGCGGCAAGACGGAAAGACCCCGUGCACCUUUACUAUAGCUUGACACUGCAAUUGGGAUAUAUUUGUGCAGGAUAGGUGGGAUGCUUUGAUGAUAUGACGCCAGUUGUAUCGGAGCAGUCCUUGAGAUACCACCCUUAUGUAUUCUGAUUGCUAACUUGCUUGGGUUAUCCCCAAGGAGGACAAUGUCUGGUGGGUAGUUUGACUGGGGCGGUCGCCUCCUAAAAAGUAACGGAGGCUUACAAAGGUUGGCUCAGAUGGGUUGGUAAAAGGUACGCCGGGGAUAACAGGCUGAUCUCCCCCAAGAGCUCACAUCGACGGGGAGGUUUGGCACCUCGAUGUCGGCUCAUCGCAUCCUGGGGCUGAAGCAGGUCCCAAGGGUAUGGCUGUUCGCCAUUUAAAGCGGUACGCGAGCUGGGUUCAGAACGUCGUGAGACAGUUCGGUCCCUAUCUGCCGUGGGCGUUGGAUGAUUGAGGAGAGUUGACCCUAGUACGAGAGGACCGGGUUGAACGAACCACUGGUGUACCAGUUGUCCUGCCAAGGGCAUCGCUGGGUAGCUAUGUUCGGAUGUGAUAACCGCUGAAAGCAUCUAAGCGGGAAGCCAACUCCAAGAUGAAUCAUCCCUGAAGAUCCGCAGAAGACUACUGCGUUGAUAGGCUGGGUGUGUAAGUGAUGAAAGUCAUUUAGCUGACCAGUACUAAUAGAUCGUUCGUAUUUACUUUAU
rnacentral:rRNA from 1 species